AACAAACGCUGGCGGCGUGCCUAACACAUGCAAGUCGAACGUGAAAGUUGGCUUCGGCCGAUGAGUAAAGUGGCGCACGGGUGAGUAACGCGUGGAUAAUCUACCCUUCAGUUGGGAAUAACUCAUCGAAAGGUGAGCUAAUACCGAAUAAUACUGCUUGACCAUGGUCAGGUAGUCAAAGAUAGCCUCUGCUUGCAAGCUUUCGCUGAAAGAUGAGUCCGCGUACCAUUAGCUAGUUGGUGGGGUAAUGGCCUACCAAGGCGACGAUGGUUAGCUGGUCUGAGAGGAUGAUCAGCCACACUGGAACUGAGACACGGUCCAGACUCCUACGGGAGGCAGCAGUGAGGAAUCUUGCGCAAUGGGGGAAACCCUGACGCAGCAACGCCGCGUGAGUGAGGAAGGUCUUCGGAUCGUAAAGCUCUGUCGGGUGGAAAGAAAUGUAUGGGGUUAAUAGCCUUCAUACUUGACGGUACCACCAAAGGAAGCACCGGCUAACUCCGUGCCAGCAGCCGCUGUAACAC
rnacentral:rRNA from 1 species